rnacentral:rRNA from 1 species
UACGUAGGGCGCAAGCGUUGUCCGGAAUUAUUGGGCGUAAAGAGCUCGUAGGCGGUCUGUCACGUCUGCCGUGAAAACCCGAGGCUUAACCUCGUGGCUUGCGGUGGAUACGGGCAGACUAGAGGUAGGUAGGGGAGAACGGAAUUCCCGGUGUAGCGGUGAAAUGCGCAGAUAUCGGGAGGAACACCGGUGGCGAAGGCGGUUCUCUGGGCCUGUACUGACGCUGAGGAACGAAAGCGUGGGGAGCGAACAGG